rnacentral:rRNA from 1 species
UACGUAGGAGGCGAGCGUUGUCCGGAAUCAUUGGGCGUAAAGAGCGCGCAGGCGGCUUGGCAAGUCGGGUGUGAAAUCCCGGGGCUCAACCCCGUGACUGCAUUCGAUACUGUCAGGCUAGAGGUAGGUAGGGGAGAUCGGAAUUCCUGGUGUAGCGGUGAAAUGCGCAGAUAUCAGGAGGAACACCGGUGGCGAAGGCGGAUCUCUGGGCCUUACCUGACGCUCAGGCGCGAAAGCUAGGGGAGCGAACAGG